rnacentral:tRNA from 1 species
AGUAGGGUGGCCGAGAGUUAGGCUGUGGAUUGUAGACCCACUAAGGGAGGAUAAAUACCUCCCCCUUCUA